CAGCAGCCGCGGGAAUACCGAGGUCCCGAGCGUUGUUCGGAUUCACUGGGCGUAAAGGGUAUGUAGGAGGUUGGAUAAGUCAGGUGUGAAAUCCCGCAGCUCAACUGCGGAACUGCAUUCGAUACUGUUCAACUAGAGGAUCGGAGGGGGAAGCGGAAUUCUUGGUGUAGCGGUGAAAUGCGUAGAUAUCAAGAGGAACACCGGUGGCGAAGGCGGCUUCCUGGAAGAUACCUGACUCUGAAACACGAAAGCCAGGGGAGCGAAUGGGAUUAGAUACCCGCGUAGUCCCUGUCUCUUAUAC
rnacentral:rRNA from 1 species